rnacentral:rRNA from 1 species
UGAGGAAUAUUGGUCAAUGGCCGGAAGGCUGAACCAGCCAAGUCGCGUGAGGGAAUAAGGCCUCACGGCGUCGGUAAACCUCAUUUUGUCGGGUGAGCAAUGGGUGACUUGCGAGUCAUCAGGGAGAGUACCCGAAGAAAAGCAAUCGGCUAACUCCGUGCCAGCAGCCGCGGUAAUACGGAGGAUGCGAGCUUAUCGGAUUUAUUGGGUUUAAAGGGUGCGCAGGCGGUACGGAAAGUCAGCGGUAAAAUUACGGAGCUCAACUCCGCCGAGCCGUUGAAACUUCCGCACUAGAGUGAGCGAGAAGUAAGCGGAAAUGCGUGGUGUAGCGGUGAAAUGCAUAGAUAUCACGCAGAACGCCGAUUGCGAAGGCAGCUUACCGGCGCUCAACUGACGCUCAGGCACGAAAGUGCGGGUAUCGAACAGGAUUAGAUACC